rnacentral:rRNA from 1 species
GACGAACGCUGGCGGCGUGCUUAACACAUGCAAGUCGAGCGAUGAAGUUCUUUCGGGAAUGGAUUAGCGGCGGACGGGUGAGUAACACGUAGGUAACCUGCCUCAUAGAGGGGAAUAGCCUUCCGAAAGGAAGAUUAAUACCGCAUAAGAUUGUAGUUUCGCAUGAAACAGCAAUUAAAGGAGCAAUCCGCUAUGAGAUGGACCCGCGUCGCAUUAGCUAGUUGGUGAGGUAACGGCUCACCAAGGCGACGAUGCGUAGCCGACCUGAGAGGGUGAUCGGCCACAUUGGGACUGAGACACGGCCCAGACUCCUACGGGGGGCAGCAGUGGGGAAUAUUGCACAAUGGGGGAAACCCUGAUGCAGCAACGCCGCGUGAGUGAUGACGGUCUUCGGAUUGUAAAACUCUGUCUUCAGGGACGAUAAUGACGGUACCUGAGGAGGAAGCCACGGCUAACUACGUGCCAGCCGCCGCCGUAA